rfam:Oryza nivara chromosome 8, whole genome shotgun sequence.
AAUAAGCGUAACUAUGGAUUUCAGUGCUCAACUAUAACCAACUGUCUUAUUUGAAAUAUUUUAUGAUUAUUAGAUGAUAAAAUAUGAAUAGUACUUUAUGCGUGACUUAACUUUUAAUUUUUUCAUAAAUUUUUCAAAUAAGACGGACCGUCAAACGUUGGGCACGAAAACUUAUGGAUGCACUUAUA